UUUAGGCAAACGCUGCAAUUUAUUUGUAGAGGAAAGUCCAUGCUCACAAAAGCUGAGAUGCUUUUAAUGAUUGUGCUAAGGAAAUAAAUAACCUUAGGAAGAGUAAUUCUUACGGCUUCGAAAUGACCUAAACUUCGGUAUGGUCAAAUUAGAUAUAAAAGUGCCAUAGUGACGAUACUUAUUAGAAAUAAUGAGAGUGGAACGCGGUAAACCCCACAAGUGAGAAACCCAAAUUAUGGUAGGGGAACUUUGAUAGGAAAAUGAACCGAUUCAAAGAUCGAAAGAUAGAUAAAUGUUUGCCACCUUUUAGGUACAGAACAUGGCUUAUU
rnacentral:RNase_P_RNA from 1 species